rnacentral:rRNA from 1 species
AUACGUAGGUGGCAAGCGUUAUCCGGAUUUACUGGGUGUAAAGGGCGUGUAGGCGGGACUGCAAGUCAGGCGUGAAAACUGGGGGCUCAAACUCCAGCCUGCGUUUGAAACUGUAGUUCUUGAGUGAUGGAGAGGCAAGCGGAAUUCCGUGUGUAGCGGUGAAAUGCGUAGAUAUACGGAGGAACACCAGUGGCGAAGGCGGCUUGCUGGACGACAACUGACGCUGAGGCGCGAAAGCGUUGGGAGCAAACAGGAUUAGAUACCCUGGUAGUCCACGCUGUAAACGAUGAAUACUAGGUGUGGGGGGACUGACCCCCUCCGUGCCGCAGUUAACACAAUAAGUAUUCCACCUGGGGAGUACGAUCGCAAGAUUGAAACUCAAAUGAAUUGACGGGG